UACAGAGGUCUCAAGCGUUUGUUUCGGAUUCAUUGAGCGUAAAGGGUGUGUAGGUGGCGCCGUAAGUGGGGUGUGAAAUUUCGAGGCUUAACCUCGAAACUGCAUUCCAUACUGCGGUGCUUGAGGACUGGAGAGGAGACUGGAAUUUACGGUGUAGCAGUGAAAUGCGUAGAUAUCGUAAGGAAGACCAGUGGCGAAGGCGGGUCUCUGGACAGUUCCUGACACUGAGACACGAAGGCCAGGGGAGCAAACGGG
rnacentral:rRNA from 1 species